UACGAACCGUACAAACGUUAUUCGGAAUCACUGGGCUUAAAGGGUGCGUAGGCGGAUUUGUAAGUCAGGGGUGAAAUCCCGGGGCUCAACCUCGGAACUGCCUUUGAUACUGCAAAUCUCGAGUCCGGAAGAGGUGAGUGGAAUUCCUAGUGUAGAGGUGAAAUUCGUAGAUAUUCGGAAGAACACCAGUGGCGAAGGCGGCUCACUGGACUGGUAUUGACGCUGAGGUACGAAAGCGUGGGGAGCAAACAGG
rnacentral:rRNA from 1 species